rnacentral:rRNA from 1 species
UACAGAGACUGCAAGCGUUAUUCGGAUUCACUGGGCGUAAAGGGUGCGCAGGCGGCUGAAUGUGUCAGGUGUGAAAGCCUGGGGCUCAACCCCAGAAUUGCGCCUGAAACUGUUCAGCUAGAGUGCCGGAGAGGAUAGCGGAAUUCACGGUGUAGCAGUGAAAUGCGUAGAUAUCGUGAAGAACACCAGCGGCGAAGGCGGCUAUCUGGAAGGCAACUGACGCUCAGGCACGAAAGCGUGGGGAG